UUUUUAUCUGUCUCCAUGAUAGCAGUCAUAGCCAGUAGGUUAUCUGGACCCUUGUUCAAAAGGUUUGUUCACUGUCCUCAGAGCUGCAUCAUGAUCAAGAAAGCAGGAAUGAUCUCUCUUAAAAAUGGCUAUGCGAUUGCUAAUCUUAUAUAAAUAAUUCAAUAUUUGGUUGCUUCUGUAGGACACACUUGAAGAAACACUUGAUAAACUAUUGAAGGUCAAAAGCAGUAUGAAGAAAGUGUUUCAUCAUUCACGUCACAUAGAUUGUAACGUGUGCAGGAUUUGCUGCUCCACCUGGAUCUAUACAAGUCUGUGGGUCCGGGUGGGAUUCAUCCCAGGGUGCUUAAGGAGCUGGCUGACGCCAUCGUGGGACCUCUCUCAAUUAUUUUUCAAUGAUCUUGUGAAUCUGGAGAGGUCCCAGUGGACUGGAAGCUGACAAAUGUCGUACCAAUUUUCCAGGAGGGCAAGCCUGCUUAUUGGCAGUAAUGACCUGAGAAGACCAUGAGGAACUCACAGAGCAUGAAUUGGCUAAACAACUCUGUCAGUACGAAGUCUCUUGUCUUCCCUACAUGCCUGUAUCUCGUCUGUGGAGAAACUUUCUGAAGAGGUCCACCAAGUUAAAGAGAAUUUAUUUUCCUUCUCACUUGUACUAACCAGUGUCUCAGCUAUCAGGUGUAAGCAUCCUUCUGUGCAAGGAAGGUUAUAUAGUGGGUACACACUCUGCCACCCUGUUGUUUUACUUACAUGACCAUGGAGAAGAUGUAAGAAAAUAGGAUGGAAAACCAGCCUCGACACUAAAGGCCACAGGCUGAGACCCGAACAGGACAUCGCAGCGCAGCGGGACACCAGCGGCGCCGGCACAUCGGAGCACAGGGAGACCAGCGGCGCCGGCACAUCGGAGCGGCGCCGGGACCAGCGGCGCCGGGACGUCGGAGCGGCUCCGGGACAUCACAGCGCCGAGACCGAGACAUCGGAGAGACCGAGACAUUGGAGUGGCACGGGACAUCGGAGCGGCGCUGGGAGACCUGAGGUACACGCACUGACCGACGCUGCAGGGCUACGGCCACUUACGAGAGACACGGACAGACCUGCGGGACGCCGGACACCGACCCGGAAACACUCUAUGCACCAACCUGGACACAGGACUCACGGUGAGACACGGGGAAAAGAAACCGGUACGCGGGAAAAGGAGCCGCGCAGGGACGCGGGAAACGGAGCCGCGGAAAACGCGGGAG
rnacentral:lncRNA from 1 species